GGAUUCUUAUCAGUCCCUACAGGGUAAGGGGCAUUAUGCCAAAUGCACAGAAGCAAACAAAUAUGACUGCCAAUCAGGGUUGAUAGUGACUGUCAACUAGAGUUCAGUCAACUCACACUGUUUGGAACAGAUGUUUGGGAAACAAACAAACGUGAGCUUAUGAUGUACUGGUAGCUAACCUAAAGGGUGUGGGACCAUGACAACAUUUAUCUGAACCCAAGUGAGACCCCUCAGUGUGUGCCUUCAAUGGAACCUCUCUACUAAGCCAUCAAUGGGUGGGAAAAGCUGAGACUAUCCUAAUUGUGGCUGUGUUUGUUGGGCUGCUGGAACCAGAUUACCAUACCUCUUUGAUGAAUGAGCCUGGCAGACCCCGAAUCGCAUUUAAGUGAAAGCCAUAGCCAUUUUCACCUUUAGCCAGCCUGCAGAGUUUAGGCUUAUGAUCUUCUUCCUCUGUAGUAUCUGGUGGACUUGAGACUUCCAGAGAAGUGGGAGUAGGAGCUGGAGCCUCCUUGACAGAGCCAUUGGGCAGUUCUUGACUUUGAUAGUAGAGAAAUGGAGAAAAAUGAGCCUUUUGAAAAAUAAAGGGAAAAAACAUUAACUUAGUUGUAACCAUGAGUAAGUUAUACUUUGUUAAAUGUGCUGAUUUUUAAGGUAUCAUACAUAUUCCACUCUUCUUCUGGAUGUGUCUGAUUGUAGGCUGUAAAAUUCCUCUACUACCCCAACCAGGAAAGGUAUAAAAGAAGACUGUGCUUCGUUAUGGAGUAAUAUGUGUAUACAUGUACACAAAUGCACACAUGAACAUAAAAGCAGUAUAGGAUGCGGUACAAGGAUCCCAAAAGAAGUCUAAAAAAUUGCUAGUUUCUUUUGAG
rnacentral:lncRNA from 10 species